CUGUGGAUUGUCCUUUGGACAAUGGUAGGAGAGCGUUCUAAGGGCGUUGAAGCAUGAUCGUAAGGACAUGUGGAGCGCUUAGAAGUGAGAAUGCCGGUGUGAGUAGUGAAAGACGGGUGAGAAUCCCGUCCACCGAUUGACUAAGGUUUCCAGAGGAAGGCUCGUCCGCUCUGGGUUAGUCGGGUCCUAAGCUGAGGCCGACAGGCGUAGGCGAUGGAUAACAGGUUGAUAUUCCUGUACCACCUAUAAUCGUUUUAAUCGAUGGGGGGACGCAGUAGGAUAGGCGAAGCGUGCGAUUGGAUUGCACGUCUAAGCAGUAAGGCUGAGUAUUAGGCAAAUCCGGUACUCGUUAAGGCUGAGCUGUGAUGGGGAGAAGACAUUGUGUCUUCGAGUCGUUGAUUUCACACUGCCGAGAAAAGCCUCUAGAUAGAAAAUAGGUGCCCGUACCGCAAACCGACACAGGUAGUCAAGAUGAGAAUUCUAAGGUGAGCGAGCGAACUCUCGUUAAGGAACUCGGCAAAAUGACCCCGUAACUUCGGGAGAAGGGGUGCUCUUUAGGGUUAACGCCCAGAAGAGCCGCAGUGAAUAGGCCCAAGCGACUGUUUAUCAAAAACACAGGUCUCUGCUAAACCGUAAGGUGAUGUAUAGGGGCUGACGCCUGCCCGGUGCUGGAAGGUUAAGAGGAGUGGUUAGCUUCUGCGAAGCUACGAAUCGAAGCCCCAGUAAACGGCGGCCGUAACUAUAACGGUCCUAAGGUAGCGAAAUUCCUUGUCGGGUAAGUUCCGACCCGCACGAAAGGCGUAACGAUUUGGGCACUGUCUCAACGAGAGACUCGGUGAAAUCAUAGUACCUGUGAAGAUGCAGGUUACCCGCGACAGGACGGAAAGACCCCGUGGAGCUUUACUGUAGCCUGAUAUUGAAAUUCGGCACAGCUUGUACAGGAUAGGUAGGAGCCUUUGAAACGUGAGCGCUAGCUUACGUGGAGGCGCUGGUGGGAUACUACCCUAGCUGUGUUGGCUUUCUAACCCGCACCACUUAUCGUGGUGGGAGACAGUGUCAGGCGGGCAGUUUGACUGGGGCGGUCGCCUCCUAAAAGGUAACGGAGGCGCUCAAAGGUUCCCUCAGAAUGGUUGGAAAUCAUUCAUAGAGUGUAAAGGCAUAAGGGAGCUUGACUGCGAGACCUACAAGUCGAGCAGGGUCGAAAGACGGACUUAGUGAUCCGGUGGUUCCGCAUGGAAGGGCCAUCGCUCAACGGAUAAAAGCUACCCCGGGGAUAACAGGCUUAUCUCCCCCAAGAGUUCACAUCGACGGGGAGGUUUGGCACCUCGAUGUCGGCUCAUCGCAUCCUGGGGCUGUAGUCGGUCCCAAGGGUUGGGCUGUUCGCCCAUUAAAGCGGUACGCGAGCUGGGUUCAGAACGUCGUGAGACAGUUCGGUCCCUAUCCGUCGUGGGCGUAGGAAAUUUGAGAGGAGCUGUCCUUAGUACGAGAGGACCGGGAUGGACAUACCUCUGGUGUACCAGUUGUCGUGCCAACGGCAUAGCUGGGUAGCUAUGUGUGGACGGGAUAAGUGCUGAAAGCAUCUAAGCAUGAAGCCCCCCUCAAGAUGAGAUUUCCCAACUUCGGUUAUAAGAUCCCUCAAAGAUGAUGAGGUUAAUAGGUUCGAGGUGGAAGCAUGGUGACAUGUGGAGCUGACGAAUACUAAUCGAUCGAAGACUUAAUCAA
rnacentral:rRNA from 1 species